CUUAAUAAGGACAUAACAAAAAAAGCCCAAAACCUAGCUACAAUCAAUAGAAUACAAUAUCUUUCUUUCAAUCAAUGUAGUUCUCUACUCCGCUCCCACAUCCAACUCCCAAAUUAAACUACUAUCCCAACUACAACAUACGACCAUAUCAUGUGUCCAUUUUCUAGUUGUUGAACUCCCUUGUUCUCUCGACAUUGAGUUCUUGCACGACGAGCUCUUCUUCAUAUUUCGCUUGCAUAUAAAAAGAUAAGAAAUAGAGGAGUUAGAAUG
rnacentral:lncRNA from 7 species